UCGCCCUUAGAGUUUGAUCCUGGCUCAUGGUGAACGCUAGCGGCAGGCCUAACACAUGCAAGUCGAGGGGUAACAGGGAAAAGCUUGCUUUUCCGCUGACGACCGGCGCACGGGUGCGUAACGCGUAUGCAACCUACCUUUUACAGGAGUAUAGCCCAGAGAAAUUUGGAUUAAUCCUCCAUAACAUCUUUUUCUUGCAUAGGAAAAAGAUUAAAGCUUCGGUGGUAAAAGAUGGGCAUGCGUCUUAUUAGCUAGUAGGUGAGGUAACGGCUCACCUAGGCCACGAUAAAUAGGGGCCCUGAGAGGGGGAUCCCCCACACUGGUACUGAGACACGGACCAGACUCCUACGGGAGGCAGCAGUGAGGAAUAUUGGACAAUGGACGAAAGUCUGAUCCAGCCAUGCCGCGUGCAGGAUGACGGCCCUAUGGGUUGUAAACUGCUUUUAUACAGGAAGAAACACUCCCGCGUGUGGGGGCUUGACGGUACUGUGCGAAUAAGGAUCGGCUAACUCCGUGCCAGCAUCCGCGGUAAUACGGAGGAUCCAAGCGUUAUCCGGAAUUAUUGGGUUUAAAGGGUCCGCAGGCGGCUCUAU
rnacentral:rRNA from 1 species